UAUAUAUAUAUAUAUAUAUACAUAUAUAUUUUAUAUAUAUAUAUAUAUAUAUAUAUAUAUAUAUAUAUAUAUAUAUAUAUAUAUCAGGGAAGGAUAGAGCCCGCCUACUGGCAGUGAGAGCCCCUCAUGCUGGGGACUUUCUGCUGGCUGUUCCCAACUCC